AAUCAUCCAACGUUCAGCCAAUCAAGUUACGCUCCAUUGGUCAUGUGACGUCGAAACAGGAACGUCGUGAAGUUCAAAGGUGAGCUCCGGUCAGAGCUCAGGAUGGCCCAAAACACAAAUAAUAACGCUUCGGAACUCCUGCUUAAUCAUCUUUUAGAAAGACUUCGCUCUCGAUUGGAGCAUAUUCUGGGACGCAUGCCUCUUGAUCUGGACUUCUUAGAGUUCACUUGCACACAAGAACUUGUGUUAUUAAAUGCUGUAUCCAGUCAAGUAA